UAUAAUUUUUGACUCUCUAUCUUAUUUAAUUUUUUUUACGAUUAAUAUUUUUGUUUUUAUUAGAUGAUAAAUCAUAAAUAGUACUUUACGUGUAACUAAUUUUUUUCUAAUUUUCUAAAACUUUUUUAAAUAAGACGGAUAAUUAAUUGGACACGGAAACCGAAG
rnacentral:pre_miRNA from 1 species